GAUGAAGAACGUAGCGAAAUGCGAUAAGUAAUGUGAAUUGCAGAGUUCAGUGAAUCAUCGAAUCUUUGAACGCACAUUGCGCCCGCCAGUAUUCUGGCGGGCAUGCCUGUCCGAGCGUCAUUUCAACCAUCAAGCCUCGUGCUUGUGUUGGGGACCUGCGUCCGACGCAGGCCCUGAAAACCAGUGGCGGGCUCGCUGUCCACACCGAGCGUAGUAACUAACCUCGCUAUGGAGUGGCGCGGGCGCCUGCCGUAAAACCCCCAAUUUCACAAGGUUGACCUCGGAUCAGGUAGGAAUACCCGCUGAACUUAAGCAUAUCAAUAAGCGGAGGA
rnacentral:misc_RNA from 1 species